UACGUAGGGGGCUAGCGUUGUCCGGAUUUAUUGGGCGUAAAGAGCGUGUAGGCGGCCAGGUAGGUCGGUUGUGAAAACUGGAGGCUCAACCUUCAGACGUCGACCGAAACCAUCUGGCUAGAGUCCGGGAGAGGAGAGUGGAAUUCCUGGUGUAGCGGUGAAAUGCGCAGAUAUCAGGAAGAACACCCGUGGCGAAAGCGGCUCUCUGGAACGGUACUGACGCUGAGACGCGAAAGCGUGGGGAGCGAACAGG
rnacentral:rRNA from 1 species